rnacentral:rRNA from 1 species
UACGAAGGGGGCUAGCGUUGCUCGGAAUCACUGGGCGUAAAGCGCACGUAGGCGGCUUUCUAAGUCAGGGGUGAAAUCCUGGAGCUCAACUCCAGAACUGCCUUUGAUACUGGAGAGCUUGAGUCCGGAAGAGGUGAGUGGAAGCUCCGAGUGUAGAGGUGAAAUUCGUGGAUAUUCGGAAGAACACCAGUGGCGAAGGCGGCUACACUGGUCCGGUACUGACGCUGAUGUGCGAAAGCGUGGGGAGCAAACAGG